rnacentral:rRNA from 1 species
GAUGAACGCUAGCGGCAGGCUUAAUACAUGCAAGUCGAACGGGAUUCGUUGUAGCAAUACGAUGAUGAGAGUGGCGCACGGGUGCGUAACGCGUAUGCAACCUACCUUUAACAGGUGAAUAGCCCCGAGAAAUCGGGAUUAAUACACCGUAACAUUGCGAAGUGGCAUCACUAUGCAAUUAAAGAUUUAUCGGUUAAAGAUGGGCAUGCGUGACAUUAGCUAGUUGGUGAGGUAACGGCUCACCAAGGCAACGAUGUCUAGGGGUCCUGAGAGGGUUAUCCCCCACACUGGUACUGAGACACGGACCAGACUCCUACGGGAGGCAGCAGUAAGGAAUAUUGGUCAAUGGGCGCAAGCCUGAACCAGCCAUGCCGCGUGCAGGAAGACGGCCCUAUGGGUUGUAAACUGCUUUUGUCAGGGAAUAAACCUAUCUACGCGUAGAUAGCUGAAGGUACCUGAAGAAUAAGCAUCGGCUAACUCCGUG